GGAACGACAGCUUUCCAGCUUCUACGACGCUCUGCCUAAAUUAAAAAGCAACCAAUCGGAACCGCCGGAAGGGGGGCCGCGCGUCCUGAGCCAGUCAUUCCGGGGCUGCCAGUCACCCAGCGGGUAGCCAAUCAGCGGGGGCCCCGGUGCUCGACUUCCUUGUGUUUGGGAAAGUGUGGUGGUGGGUGCGCGCUCGCGGCGGAGGGUAAACAUUCGACAGUCCCUGCUCGGAGAGGGAGGGACAGAGAGAGGACUGUCAGAUCGGAGCCGAACCGGCGGGCGAGAGAGGGAGAGAGAGAGAGAGAGAGAAAGAGAGAGAGAGAGAGAGGGAGGGAGAGGGAAGAAGCUAGGGAGAGCGCGCGAACCGGGGCGCACGGCGAGCUCCCCCGGCAACUCCGCUCCGGCACGGCCAGCGCGCGCGCCGUCGGUGCAGCCUCCGCGCUGUGCGUCGUGCCCACUGGAGUUGGUUGUGUAUCAAGGAUCCCCUAUAUGCACACACACACCUCCACCUCCACCAAUGCACUCUUCUUCUUCUUCUUCCUCCUCAUCCUCCUCCAGACCUCUGCUGGGAAAAAAAUAAAACACCAACCCCAACCGUCAGCAGCAAGAGGCAACCGAGAGCUCCGGCAAUAGCAACUUCAGAGCAAUGCACCAGCGCGCGAAGUUUUCCUAGGACAGAGCAAAGUCGAGCCGAGAGGACCGGAGGGGGAGAGCGGGAGCCCGCGUCUCCGCUCGGCACGCGAGCGGCCAGCACCACCACGCCUUCAAGGACAAAAAAAGUUUUCCUCCUCCAAGGGGAGACGAGCGAAGGGCGUUCCCGAAGAGCUGGCGAGGAGCGGCCGGUCGUCCGCGCUGUGGUCCAGCAGAAAGGAGCGGCUUCUUUUCUUUGUUGCCUCCCGUGAAGUCGCCACUUAGCAGGUGGACCGGGCCCAGCGCCCCGGGCAGAGUCCGCGCUUGCCCGAGGACCGGAGGAGGAGGAGGAGCGCCGGUCGGUGCGCCCGGCCCGAAGAGCCCCGGCGCAGGGCCGCGCCCCUCCCGGAGAGCCCCGCUGGAGCGAGCCGCUCGCGCCGGGGCUGGGGGGCGGCCACGACCCCCCCCGAGGGGGGCGGCCACGGAGUGCGCCCCGCCGAGAAGCGAGCCCCCCUCCCCGGAGCGCGGCUCCUGCGGCGGCGACUGCUGACCAAGGCCGGCCAGCGACCCCCGCGCCCUGCCCAGCGGCC
ensembl:lncRNA